rnacentral:rRNA from 1 species
UUUCCAGACUCCUACGGGAGGCAGCAGUGGGGAAUAUUGGACAAUGGGGGGAACCCUGAUGCAGCGACGCCGCGUGGGUGAAGAAGCGCCUCGGCGCGUAAAGCCCUGUCAGCAGGGAAGAAAAUGACGGUACCUGAAGAAGAAGCCCCGGCUAACUCCGUGCCAGCAGCCGCGGUAAUACGGAGGAUGCGAGCGUUAUCCGGAUUUAUUGGGUUUAAAGGGUGCGUAGGCGGAAUGCCAAGUCAGCGGUAAAAUCGCGGGGCUCAACCUCGCGCCGCCGUUGAAACUGGCGUUCUUGAGUGGGCGAGAAGUAUGCGGAAUGCGUGGUGUAGCGGUGAAAUGCAUAGAUAUCACGCAGAACUCCGAUUGCGAAGGCAGCAUACCGGCGCCCAACUGACGCUGAAGCACGAAAGCGUGGGUAUCGAACAGGAUUAGAUACCCUUGUAU